GACGAACGCUGGCGGCGUGCUUAACACAUGCAAGUCGAACGGAAAGGCCCUGCUUUUGUGGGGUGCUCGAGUGGCGAACGGGUGAGUAACACGUGAGUAACCUGCCCUUGACUUUGGGAUAACUUCAGGAAACUGGGGCUAAUACCGGAUAGGAGCUCCUGCUGCAUGGUGGGGGUUGGAAAGUUUCGGCGGUUGGGGAUGGACUCGCGGCUUAUCAGCUUGUUGGUGGGGUAGUGGCUUACCAAGGCUUUGACGGGUAGCCGGCCUGAGAGGGUGACCGGCCACAUUGGGACUGAGAUACGGCCCAGACUCCUACGGGAGGCAGCAGUGGGGAAUAUUGCACAAUGGGCGGAAGCCUGAUGCAGCAACGCCGCGUGCGGGAUGACGGCCUUCGGGUUGUAAACCGCUUUCGCCUGUGACGAAGCGUGAGUGACGGUAAUGGGUAAAGAAGCACCGGCUAACUACGUGCCAGCAGCCGCGGUGAUACGUAGGGUGCGAGCGUUGUCCGGAUUUAUUGGGCGUAAAGGGCUCGUAGGUGGUUGAUCGCGUCGGAAGUGUAAUCUUGGGGCUUAACCCUGAGCGUGCUUUCGAUACGGGUUGACUUGAGGAAGGUAGGGGAGAAUGGAAUUCCUGGUGGAGCGGUGGAAUGCGCAGAUAUCAGGAGGAACACCAGUGGCGAAGGCGGUUCUCUGGGCCUUUCCUGACGCUGAGGAGCGAAAGCGUGGGGAGCGAACAGGCUUAGGUACCCUGGUAGUCCACGCUGUAAACGGUGGGUACUAGGUGUGGGGUCCAUUCCACGGGUUCCGUGCCGUAGCUAACGCUUUAAGUACCCCGCCUGGGGAGUACGGCCGCAAGGCUAAAACUCAAAGGAAUUGACGGGGCCCCGCACAAGCGGCGGAGCAUGCGGAUUAAUUCGAUGCAACGCGUAGAACCUUACCUGGGUUUGACAUGGAUCGGGAGUGCUCAGAGAUGGGUGUGCCUCUUUUGGGGUCGGUUCACAGGUGGUGCAUGCCUGUCGUCAGCUCGUGUCGUGAGAUGUUGGGUUAAGUCCCGCAACGAGCGCAACCCUUGUUCACUGUUGCCAGCACGUUAUGGUGGGGACUCAGUGGAGACCGCCGGGGUCAACUCGGAGGAAGGUGGGGAUGACGUCAAGUCCCCAUGCCCCUUAUGUCCAGGGCUUCACGCAUGCUACAAUGGCUGGUACAGAGAGUGGCGAGCCUGUGAGGGUGAGCGAAUCUCGGAAAGCCGGUCUCAGUUCGGAUUGGGGUCUGCAACUCGACCUCAUGAAGUCGGAGUCGCUAGUAAUCGCAGAUCAGCUACGCUGCGGUGAAUAAAUUCCCGGGGCU
rnacentral:rRNA from 1 species